rnacentral:rRNA from 1 species
UACAGAGGUCUCAAGCGUUGUUCGGAUUUACUGGGCGUAAAGGGCGCGUAGGCGGCUUUUCAAGUCGGGCGUGAAAUCUCCGGGCUUAACCCGGAAGGGUCGUUCGAUACUGUUGAGCUAGAGUGUGGAAGAGGCAACUAGAAUUCCGUGUGUAGCGGUGAAAUGCGUAGAUAUACGGAGGAAUACCUGAGGCGAAGGCGGGUUGCUGGGCCAACACUGACGCUGAAGUGCGAAAGCCAGGGGAGCAAACGGG